UCCACAUACUGUCCUCCACCCUUUGGAAGACAGGUGGGACGGGUUCAGCUCUUUGAUAAGCAUCUCGACCUGAUGAAGCCCAUACUCUGAGUACCAAGGCUUGGCCAAUCAGGCGACAGCUUGGAGUAGAGAAAUGGAGGGAAACGGUUUUCCACCUUCUAGAUUAGAUGUUUCUAAAAAAAAAACAACCUCCUGAAAUAUUCAACUGAAGCUGCUGGAACAGAUGUGUGAGCUUUCCUUUGAUUAAUGGAAACAAUGAAGAGAUUCCCAGUGAAAACUUCAGGAAUGCCGUUUCUCCGUUUCUGUCUGAGACGUUCUUCUCAUUUUUGUUCUCAUCAGAAACCUAAAAAGGGAAAACAAGGAGAAGUCRACAGCUCCCUGCUGGUCCAGUUGGUCCAGACAGAGAUUUAAAGCUUCACUGCUACACCUGGCUCAGCUCAUUGUUCCAACAUUUACUGCCAACACUCGUCUUCCAACCACAAACCCAGAAGGAGGAACCACUAAAUUCAAUUCAGGACCUCGGCACAUCAUUGUGAAGCUCUUUGGAGAGCCUAGCAGCAGCUGCUGCUCCAGGCAGGUGCAACCAGUUCCAUUAUCUGAACAGGUUUAAAGGACACACAGAGACAGGUGCAGGAGGUGAAAGUGUUUAAAAGGACUGACUGAUGCGAGUUCUGCACCGUCUAUCCCUCUGAGAGCUAAAUUAAGGACCGUGUGUUUCUCCUGGAUCAUGGAAGACUGAGGCCCAUCCAUCUGGAGCUUCUGGACUYUCAGAGGUCACACAUCUAGAAGUGUUUGAGGAGUUUCAUUAAAACAGUUUCUAGGGAGCCAAGUCUGACAGCAGCAGAGUGUGAGUCCCUUAAUAAGAGACGGACCUGCCGACCAACGCUGAGCUCCAGAUGAAACACGCUGCAAGUCACAGCAGCACAGCAACGCUGCUUUUGGAGAAGCUCGUGUGUGUAUAAGAAGCAGUGAAGGCACGCGGCCUGGAUAUAGUCUUACACUGAACUGAGGCAGACUUUGUUCCACUCUGGCCAAGCUGUGGCUUUCAUGGUCUGUGCCAUCUCUCUUGUGAGUAAUCUACUCAUUCAGCACCAGAGCUCCUCUGAGCCCAGUUUCCAGUCUGAUAAUGUCUCACAGCCAUGUAGGAAAUUUAGCAAGUGUGUAAGGAAAGCAGCCGGCAGCCUCUGUAAGCUGAAGCUACAAACUACCCGCUCAGACUCCCAACGUACCGAGAACCACUAAAACCCUGGAUCUGGAAAACAAAUGUCCACAACUGUGAAGCAGCGAGAAAAGUUGAUCUGAAGAGAAACCGUCACAAAGCCUGACAGCAGAGAGCAGCAUCAGGUCUUCCAGACGUCACAUGGAGGCCAUCAGUAAACGACAAGCAGCCUUUUUCCCUCCAAUCACAACUCAUUUCACUCAAAGAGUGGUGAGGGUAAAAUGAAAGUGAGACAAAGAGGGAAAAGCUCCCAGKGAAACCAGCUGCUGUAGUGACCCUCCAUCAGGGGCCCGGGGCCUGACUGUGGGCUCCAGAACCAUCCUGGUUCUCCUCCUCAGACUGAAUGGAGACAACAUCCAUGGAGGUAACCAGACAUGGCAUUGGGGGAUGAAAUGAGCAUUAUGCUCAAUGCUGCGGUUUGACGCUGCAACACUUAGUCCAGGUGGUGGGCACCAAAUGUGGGAAGCAUUAGCAGCUCUUCCUGCCUUGUUACACAUCCAGAUUACAGGACUGGUUGGUUGGAAGGAUGAGGAGGAGGGAUGGUAGGCAGCAAGGGAGGAGUGGAGGCUUUCCAUUCUGUCAGCCAUUAUUAUUGCAAGAUGGAAGAAAAGGAAGAGAAGACCUGUAGCUCUUCUAAUCUGAUGGUAGACAGGAGAACUGCUGUUCUUGAACAUUCUAAUAUCUGAUCUCCUUUGUGCUUCUGCAUAACACAAAAAAAUAGAAAGUAGAAAGAAAUGAUCAACAAUCAGCCAAAGAGAUGAAACAUCCAUCCAUCCUUAGAUGGCACUCUUCAGGCUGUUCUUGUAAUCUUGAAGUGUUCUCAGGUUAGAGUGAAAAUAUGGUUCUGCGGUGAGUUUUGAUUCUGCCAAAGGGAUUCAUUUAAAGGGAAACUUUUAAGAACAAUUCUGAUCAGAUCCUCCAAUCACAUCAGCGGAAUCUAUUUAUUAUGGAGAAACAGAAGUUCUACUUUGGGCUUCAGCUGAACCACAUGUCCAAAUCAGAAACCCUACGGAAGAAGCCAAUCUCAGUUUGUACUGCAUAUACAGGAUCCCAUUCAUUAAGUCAUGCAUAUGUCAUUACUCUAGAAGAGGCAUGAAAAACAGAUAAAGAAGUAAACAGAUAAAGGCAAAGUUUAAACCAUAACCAGCAGAAGCAAUGACCUCCUUCUUGCAGAAGAAGUUCCAAACCACCUUUUCCCAUACCCCCAUCAGACUACUCAUCAAAGUAAGACCAAAUGAUACUAUAACUUCUCUGCUUGAGGCAGAGACUCGUUCUAAAUCCAAGAUGAGCAGUCAAUCUUUUUCUGGUUAAGGAAAGUGAGAAUACUCCGACCCAGUCAGAAUAUUCAGAUUUUGUGGAGGGUUAUUUUGGAAAGCUUGAGUUGGGUCAUUGUCCAUCCUUACAAAAAAAAAAAAAAAAGUUUUUUAUUUUUCCCCCAGAUUAAUAUCAACAACUUCCAAAGCUACCAAUAAACUCUUGCAGCCAAUCUUAUAUUCAAAUCCAGACUGUUUUUACAGACUGGGAAAAAAAAUAGCUCCCCACCUGAUCUAAAAGAUUUUACAUAUGAAAAAACUCAUUCUUGUAUGUUUUCUUCAUGCAUUCAUACAUACUAUUGGUUUAAAGAGUGUGCAGACAUUUUGUGUUUGUAACAGACAUCAACCUUUUUUUCCCCACACAGAAAAAAAAAGAAGUCAUUCUCCAAACAUUUCCGGCCCAUAUUCUACUGUACGAGUUCUCCAAAUGUUCCUCCUACAACUGUAACAACAGACGUCUGCAGAAAUGAUUAUGGUUCUGCACUGAAGUGAAGGUCAGGUUCUGAUCUUUGUGAAUACAUUCAGCAUCUGUUUCCAGGAGAAGCCUGCAUAUCUGGUCUGGUAGCUACUCUGACCUCCUGACAGAGGGAGGUUUAGCUGGGGUUAGACCAGAUGAUGCUUCACAUCUUUAAUCAGUUUCUGUAGCGGUCAUCCCAGUGUUAAACUGGGUUACCUGGGGAGAAGAGACUCACAAAAGAUGAGGAAAAUGGUCUCCAACCCAACUCUUACAGGCUUACAUGGUGGAACAGUGUUUUAGAUCUGAGGUUGCUAAAAGUCUAUUUGCGUCAGAAGCAAUCUAUGUUUCCCCUCCGUCUCAUCCCGCAGCUCUACGGGCUUAGAGACGUCACAUCUCAGAACGAUGCUGGUCGACCCAGAAGCUGCAGCUCGGUAAGCAAAAAAUAAUAAAACUCACACUGACAAAAUAAGUGGCUCAGAUUGUUGGGGAAACUUUAGAGCCACAGUCAAUGAUGCCAACACUAAAGAGUCUGGAAGCACCAAAAGCAAAGAAAUAAACAGUUAUAUUUACAAAAAAAA